UACGUAGGGGGCAAGCGUUGUCCGGAUUUAUUGGGCGUAAAGAGCGCGCAGGCGGUCGUUCAAGUCGAGUGUGAAAGCCCCCGGCUCAACUGGGGAGGGUCAUUCGAUACUGAUCGACUGGAAGGCAGGAGAGGGAAGCGGAAUUCCCGGUGUAGUGGUGAAAUGCGUAGAUAUCGGGAGGAACACCAGUGGCGAAGGCGGCUUCCUGGCCUGUUCUUGACGCUGAGGCGCGAAGCUAGGGGAGCAAACGGG
rnacentral:rRNA from 1 species